UAGUAGCACUAGAAUUGUGGGCCCUAACU
rnacentral:piRNA from 1 species